AUAUAUAUCAUUGGACACGUAGAUUCUGGAAAGUCCACAACAACUGGACAUCUGAUCUACAAAUGUGGUGGUAUCAACAAGAGAACCAUCGAAAAGUUCGAGAAGGAAGCUGCUGAGAUGGGAAAAGGCUCCUUCAAGUAUGCCUGGGUCUUGGACAAACUGAAGGCCGAGCGUGAACGUGGUAUAACCAUUGACAUCUCCCUGUGGAAAUUUGAGACCAGCAAAUACUAUGUCGCUAUCAUUGAUGCUCCUGGACACAGAGAUUUCAUCAAGAACAUGAUCACUGGUACUUCUCAGGCUGACUGUGCUGUCCUGAUUGUUGCUGCUGGUGUUGGUGAAUUUGAAGCUGGUAUCUCAAAGAAUGGACAAACCCAUGAGCAUGCCCUCCUUGCCUACACACUGGGUGUAAAACAGCUGAUCGUUGGUAUUAACAAGAUGGAUUUCACUGAACCCCCAUACAACCAGAAAAGAUAUGAGGAAAUUGUAAAGGAAGUCAGCACAUACAUCAACAAGAUUGGUUACAACGCUGACACUGUUGCCUUUGUACCUAUUUCUGGAUGGAACGGUGACAACAUGCUUGAGCCUAGCCCCAAUAUGCCAUGGUUUAAGGGAUGGAAAAUCACCCGUAAAGAGGGAUCUGGCAGUGGAACUACCCUGCUGGAAGCUCUUGACUGCAUUCUGCCACCUAGUUGCCCAACUGAUCAGCCUCUCCGUUUGCCUCUGCAGGAUGUCUACAAAAUUGGCGUUAUUGGUACUGUACCAGUUGGUCGUGUGGAAACUGGUGUCAUUAAACCAGGCAUGGUGGUUACCUUUGCCCCUGUUAAUGUAACAACUGAAGUGAAAUCUGUUGAAAUGCACCAUGAAGCCCUUACUGAGGCCGUACCCGGUGACAACGUCGGCUUUAACGUCAAGAACGUUUUCGUGAAGGACGUCCGUCAUGGAAACGUUGCUGGUGACCGCAAGAAUGACCCACCAAUGGAAGCUGGUUCUUUUACCGCACAGGUUAUCAUCCUGAAUCACCCAGGCCAGAUUGGUGCUGGAUAUGCCCCUUUGUUGGAUUGCCACACUGCUCACAUUGCUUGCAAGUUUGCUGAGCUGGAAGAUUGAUCGCCGUUCUGGUAAGAAACUGGAAGACAAUCCCAAAUUCCUGAAGUCUGGAGAUGCUGCCAUUGUUGACAUGAUCCCAGGAAAGCCAAUGUGCAUGGAGAGCUUCUCAGACUACCCUCCUCUUGGUCGUUUUGCUGUCCUUGACAUGAGGCAGACUGUUGCCGUAGGAGUCAUCAAGGCAGUGGAAAAGAAGGCAGCAGGAUCUGGCAAAGUCACAAAGUCUGCUCAGAAAGCAGCAAAAACCAAAUGAAUAUUUCCAGAGUCUCUCACCUCAGUCAUAACCAGUGGUGGAGGAUUGGUCUCAGAACUCUUUCUAUCAAUUGGCCAUCAGAGUUUAAUAGUCAAAGACUGGUUAAUGAUUACAAUGCAUCGCAAGAGCUUCAGAAGGAAAAAAAUGCUUGUGGACACAUUUGUUUGUGGCAGUUUUAAGUUAUUAGUGUUUUAAAUCCAGUAAUUUCUAAAUGGAAGCAAAUCGACCAAAACCUGUCACCAAAUUUGAGACCAUUAA